GAGUAGCUGUGACUACAGGUGUGCACCACCAUGCCUAGCUGCAAAUUUAGUUUUAAACCUUUUGGGAUAAUGAUCUACACAUUAUCCACACCGUUUUGAAAGCUGAUUGCCCCCUGGUCCCUUCCCCAUAUGAUAAAUCACAAAUACUUUUCAAUGACCAAAGAGUAUUCUCUGAAAAAAAAAAAUAUACAGUAGCUUAGUCAGUUAAUCAGUCCCUAAUUUUGAACAUUUAUAAUUAUUAUAAGCAAUAUUGCACAUCCCUGACUAUUUACUAAGAAUAUAUUCAGAGAAGUAGAAUUAUGGGGUCAAAUCAUAGAAACAUUUUGAUACAUUCUGUUAAAUUGGCUUUUCAAAUAAUUUUACUGAUUUCCAUUUCCAUAAGCAGCAUAUGAGAAUAUCAAUAUUGAUUCAUCUUAGUGAGCGCUGGGCAUUAUCACAUUUGUAACAUAUCAUCUCUUAUGAAUGAAUGAAGGAAUGAAUGACAAGAGCCUUUCCUGGGAGGGAUAAUGUCUCCUUGAGAUGCUGCUGUCACACUGCCACUCUCCUUGUGACCAGCUCAGAUCCCCUGCCUGUGCAAAUGUGCGUGUUGCCCAGGAGGGGAGAUGGGGAGGUGAGGGUAGGGGGCUGACUUCCAGGAUAUUUCAGUAUGGCUUUUAGACCUCAGCCAAGUCUGUGAAGUGACCGUGCAGCCAAAGUAAUCACCCUUCCUUGGGCCGGGUUAAUGUGCUCCUCCCUUGCUGCUUGGAUCAAUACUGUACUUACUGCAGAUUAGCUAAAUGAGCCAGCGCAGCUGGGAAUGAGCUUCUAGAGACAAUUACUAUGGAAAAUGCAGCCAUAUUUUAGUGGGCACCGCAUGCAUGAGGCUCUUUGCAAAUAUCAAUAUAUAUUUGCUUGCUUGACAAAAAUAGAUCAAACCUAAGUCCGGAGAUUAAUCCAAAUGAUCAGAGUGUACAUGCUUCUUGUUGUACAAAGUGUGGCAGAACCCGACCUUUUCCAUGGUGGCUAUUGUUCGGAUGGUGCUGGAAGUAACCCAAAAUGGGCUAGUGGUUGGCCCAUGAGAUUGUCUGCAAGUUUAUUGCAGGUACAAAUAGUAAUGAGGCUGCUUAUGGUGAUAAUCAUUUAUCUCACUUGAUCUUCACCACAACCUUGCAAUGCUCACUAAAUGUUUAUUUAAUAAAUUCAUUCAUUCGCUUAACAAAUAGUGACUGAGUAGCCUUUGUGUACAGGGCCGUGUUCUAGAUGCUGGAAGAAGUAGGGCCCUUUUCAGUGGAACUUGCAGCCUGGUAGGACAAGAGUGAUAAUAAACAAGGAAGCCAUGUGCGUGGAAAAGUAAUCACGCACUGAGGCAAGUGCUGCAAAGAAAGACAGUGCCAUGUAAAGAAAAUAUAUAGGGUGGCGGUGCUUAAUUUCAAAAGGGGGGUUGGAGAAGGCUUCUCCGAGGGGGCGACAUUGAGGUUGAGAUUUGAUGGAUGAGAAGGAGUGAGCUAGGACAAGAGAAGAAGAGAGACAGUGUUCUUGGCGGAGGGACCUUCUUGUGCAGAGGGAGUGAGCUGGGAACCAGACCAGCAGUUCCAAGGAACAGAGAGGCUGCCAUGCAGGGCUGGAGCGGGAUGAACAAGGCAAGAACAGGCAAGAACAGCACGCCAUCCAGUGGGAGAAGCAGACAGCGGCCAGGCCACACAGAGCCCUGCAGGGCACGCUGGCAGAGCUGCUUGAAACGAAGCCGUUCCCUGAAAGGCACACGUGAAUUUCCCCUGCGGAAAAUUCAAACAGACACACUUGAGGAUUUCCACUAAAUUCUCUCCGGCCCCCAGAGCACUGGGGAAGCGUGUGAGACCUGUGCCAUCCCAGAACUGUGGCGACAAUGGUAGUUAACGUCCAUCAUCCGCAGGCACCUUCAGGAUGAGGAGCGUGCAGAGAUGACUCACGCCCACACCGGUGACCUCCAACACACCAGGGAAGGCAGGAAAAGGCUGUGUGCCAGGAUCUUGUUCUGGGCUAGAAAAGUACGCCUGUUCAUUACCCGACCUUUGCUAAGUACACCAACUAAUGGAGCGAGAGACAUGAAAGAUCUUCACAGGCCAUGUGGAAAUGUAAUUCAAACCCAGCCUGAGGAGGUCACAGUGUUCAGCAAGUAAACAUGGAGCCUGCUGAAGCUGGGAAUGCGAAGUGUGCAAGAAGCCUCCCUGUGGGAACCUACGGCUCAGCAGGGAGAUGUGAAAUAGCUGGAAAUGCCGGCUACACAGUGUAAAGGGCGUGCCACCUUGGGAUGGGGUCAGAAACAGAGGAGAGGGGAGAUCCUGGCCAGCAGGGGUGUCACAGAGGCUUUUUAGAGGAGGGGGCCCUGGAGCUGAACUUUGAGACCAGCAGCAUUCGAACACAUCCAUGGGUCUCCCUUUCAGAUUUCAGUGCCCUCUUGGCCUUGGGCUGAUGAGCUAAGUUGCUACUGGAGGAUGACUUUUCACGGGAAAUUCAGAAACCCAGUCAUCAAUGUUGGACUACCCUGCCACCAAGUCCCUCCAUUGCCCUGGCUUGGUGUGGCUGCAAGAAGUCAUCUGUUCAGGCUCCUCCUACCUCCUCCACACACUCACCUCCCUCAGAUUCAGAACAGCCAAUGCUGCCCUCUGAGGUCUGCCCCUUUGCACAGGCCUUGCCCACAUCCAGGCUCCUGGAUUCCUCAGAAGCUGGCUCCUGGGGCCUGUCCAGCAAGGCUUGGAAGCCCGGAUCCCCAAAGACCUGCUAGUUAAUGAGUUCUGCAAAAACUAGGUCUGCCUGUAAUCGAAAUGGGAGUACAAGGCUCGCACAGUCCCUGAAUUAAUUCAGUCCUGUUAGAAAGGGAGCAAGGCAGAGUUUCUGCUGCUGUCUGCAGGACCCAUGGAGGGGUCUGUGCACUGUUACUUCCAUUUGGGGACCCAUUGUUUUCCAUCGCUUCAGCACAAUCUGGGAAACAUUCUCCAAGUCUAUUGUUCCUGUCUCCUGCUGCCACACUGAGGCAGUUGUUAACAAUGCCCUCUGCCCACCCCGGACCCCUCCUCCAUUUAAAUACCAGUCUGAUGGGCAAAAAGAGCAUUUAAUGACUGCUCCAGACUAAAAAGUUCCUAUUAUUUUAUUCCCUUCUUACUCCUGCCCAAUUUCCUUCCACAUGGGGACAGGUGGGUAUAAAAUAAAUGGAGCUGGAAUUACAAUCACAAGAAGACAGGUGGGGAAAUUGAAUGUGGUUAGAAAAUUUGUCCGUGCGCCUACAGGUGUGUCUCCUGAGGUCUUGCAGGGUACCACCAUCCCCCUCCCCCAGCCUGGCCAUUCUUCAAAUGGUCUGGGAAUGGGGAAUAUGAGUGGCCGAGACUUCCCCUCCCAUUGGAGUCGUCUGAGUAUCCAGGCAGAAGGAAAGGAGACAUUUGGCAAGGGGGCUCUUAGAAUGGCAGCCUUGAAGAGGUGCAGGCAGUGCUGAACUGACACUACCUUCACCAUCAGGUGUUGGGCCCCCAGUACUAUACCACAGAGUCUUUAUGCCUUCCUUCUGGAUUCUCUUCUUUCCUCUCCUUACUCAGAUGCCGCCCCCAUUGGGAAGUCUUCCUUGAUUACCCCAGAGUUAGUUUCUCCGUGCUUUCUGCUCCUCUCUCUUUGUAUCCCUAUUAAACGUGUUAUUGGUCUAUGAUGUU